rnacentral:pre_miRNA from 14 species
UAUUAAAUAGAAGUGAAAGAUCCCCGGAACGGGGAGACCCUCACUCAAGUCUCGGGAUGACGCACCUCCCCCAAGAACUCACAUAAGACC